CUCUCUGCCGAAAAAGAAACCGAGUCAUUUGUCAAGAUUAAUUCAUGUUCUUAUCGGUUUAAUAUCUGAUAUGUGGCCCAUUUGGGUCACAUCAUAUUUAACUAAUUUUUUAAGGGGGGAAGGCCCACUACAGUAGCUUGCUACUGGGGCCUUUUAAGUGUUUCCCAUGCGAUGCACUAAUGCAGGCUUGGCACACCCCAC